GCCGUUUUAGAUGUAGGCUGGGUACUCUCUCCAGUAAGUGAUAGCGUCGUUCUCUCACAGCCACACUCAGUCGAACAGGUGAUGUGCUUUUCUCAGAUACAGUCACUCCCGCCUCAACGCGUGCUCUCUCAGAUACAGGCACUCACGCCUCAACCCGUACUCUCUCAAAUAGUCACUCACGCCCUUCCUGCCUGCCUCUGUGGAACUCAGCCUACCCGUGCUCUCUCAGAUAGGGAAUUAAUACAUCUUGCAGUAUAACAUAAAAGUUGUUGCAUUGCUUUAUGCUUGCAUAAAAUGGAGGAUCAAUCAUUUUUGGAUAGAAUGAUCAACCAUCUACGUGCCUCAUGCAAGUAUUAUACCGGGUAUCCUAAAGAUUUGGGCCAUUCACGGGUUGUUCAUUUUACAUCAGAGCGUGAAUUUGUCCAGCUGCUUCAUGAAGGACGCCCUGUUGUUGUUGCUUUUACCAUCAGGGGUAAUUACACAAAACAUCUUGACCGGGUACUUGAGGAAUCUGCCGCUGAGUUUUAUCCACAUGUAAAAUUUGUGCGUGUUGAAUGUCCAAAAUAUCCUGGAUUUUGUAUAACACGGCAGAAGAAGGAAUAUCCAUUCAUCGAAAUAUUUCACAGUCCAGCACAAGUAUGAUGAUCGUCUUUAGAGAUUUACUGUUCUCAUCUUCAUGUGAUUGGAAAUGGUGGAUGGAUGUCUUUGUUAGUGCAUAAAUCAAGAACUUGCUGGAAGUUAGCCUUUUUUCUUUUAAUAUUACAAAUUUUGGCCCAAUUAUUUUUGGCCUGGGUUUGCAAAUGAUUGGUAGAUUAUGUUGACAGAAUUAAUGUUGGUUUGAUGUUAUCACCCAGCAGUGCCCAUCAUUUUUUCUAAUGGAGGAUAUUGGUCAUCCAUGGAUAAUGGUUACUUAGCAGCCUUGUCUAUAUGAAAUGUUUGAUAAGCAGGAAAGUGGAGUAGGAUAAGUGAAAUUGAUAGCAGAAGUCAAUUAUGCAAUUCAGAAAAUUUUCUUCUUUUUGUUAUGUUUUGCUCUCAGCAAUCAGAUACCAAAGUGAGAAUAGAUAGCAUAAAAGUUUUCUUGAAUCAUUUCCUUACGAUGUGGUCCUUUGUGAAGAAUCAAAUUAUCUUAGAAAAAUAUUUCAUCUUUUCCCCAUGUUCGAUUAACGACUGUUCCCAAUGAACAAAUAAAAGAAAUAUAGAUUAUUAAUAAUGUAAUAUUAUUCCUCUUAGUGUUGCUUGUGUUUCUGAUUCAGGCAGCCAUUCAGGGAAGGGUUGUUGAUCCAGGCAUCACAAGAUACUCUGUAAAAGUUCUACCUUUCAACUAUGACCUCAGUGCUUAUGGAUUUCGAGAAUUUUUCAAGCGCCACAAUAUACAAUCAUCAGAUGCAAAAUAAUGACAUUGUGGUGAAAGAAUUUGGUAUACGUGUCUAUGGCCUAAGAACCAUAGCUUUAUGUCUUUAUGUGCCUAUGGCAGAAUUUGUACUGCUGCUUGUGUUUUUUUUCUUGUGUCUUGUUUCAACCAGAAUUAUUAUUAUUAUUAUUAUUA
rnacentral:misc_RNA from 1 species